AUUGGACGCUGGCGGAAUGCUUUACACAUGCAAGUCGAGCGGCAGCACGGGGGCAACCCUGGUGGCGAGCGGCGAACGGGUGAGUAAUACAUCGGAACAUGCCCAGUCGUGGGGGAUAACACUUCGAAAGAAGUGCUAAUACCGCAUACGUCCUGAGGGAGAAAGCGGGGGAUCUUCGGACCUCGCGCGAUUGGAGUGGCCGAUGUCAGAUUAGCUAGUUGGUGGGGUAAGGGCCUACCAAGGCAAUGAUGGUUAGCCGGCCUGAGAGGGUGGACGGCCACACGGGAACUUAGAGACGGUCCAGACUCCUACGGGAGGCAGCAGUGAGGAAUCUUGCGCAAUGGGCGAAAGCCUGACGCAGCGACGCCGCGUGGAGGAUGAAGGUCUUCGGAUUGUAAACUUCUGUUAAGUGGGAAGAAAUAGGUCGUUAUAAUACAGCGACAAGAUGACGGUACCAUUAGAGAAAGCACCGGCUAACUUCGUGCCAGCCGCCGCAGUAACAC
rnacentral:rRNA from 1 species